rnacentral:rRNA from 1 species
UGUGUCCUACGGGGCGCAGCGGUGAGGAAUAUUGGUCAAUGGGCUUACGCCUGAACCAGCCAAGUCGCGUGAGGGAAGACUGCCCUAUGGGUUGUAAACCUCUUUUGUCAGGGAGCAACGCCGGCUACGUGUAGCCGGACUGAGAGUACCUGAAGAAAAAGCAUCGGCUAACUCCGUGCCAGCAGCCGCGGUAAUACGGAGGAUGCGAGCGUUAUCCGGAUUUAUUGGGUUUAAAGGGUGCGCAGGCGGGGUUUUAAGUCAGCGGUCAAAUCGUGGGGGUCAACCCCAUCCAGCCGUUGAAACUG